rnacentral:lncRNA from 1 species
ACAUUCGUGUUGCUGCAAAAAAUCAUUGUAUUAUUCUCAUUCUGUUUUUAUAACUUCUCUCAAAGAGAAUCUCAUUCUCUGUUUUGAACCUCCUGAAGCUUGGGUAGAGUAACAGCAUCAUUCAUGUGGCCUCUAUCACUAUGACUAUGUGGACUUAACCCUGAAGCAAGCAAAGCACUGAGUCUCAACCAAAGCCUUCUGUAAGCACUUCUUGACUACUGCCUAUUUUCACUCAAGAUCUUUGGACUCUACAGUCAGCAAAUGCUGAAGCCAGUCAGCACACAGAGAUAUUCCUUCAGCAUACCAUACUGCCAUAGAGUGAUGGAGGAAUGACACCAGUAAUUUGAGACCUCUUCAGUGGCUCUGUGAUACAAAGUUAAAACCAGGUCUGCUGCAGUUUGCGGGAGGUCCACUCCAGACCCUGUUUG